CUUAGAGAUACUUUAGUGGCGGACGGGUGAGUAACGCGUGAGGAGCUGUCCUAUGCAGGGGGACAACAGCUGGAAACGGCUGCUAAUACCCCAUAAGCCGAGAGGGUAAAAGGAUCAAUCCGGCAGAGGAGGUACUCGCGUCCUAUCAGCUAGUAGGUGAGGUAACGGCUCACCUAGGCGAAGACGGGUAGCCGGCCUGAGAGGGCGAACGGCCACACUGGAACUGAGAUACGGUCCAGACUCCUACGGGAGGCAGCAGUGGGGAAUAUUGGGCAAUUGGGGGGAAACCCUGACCCAGCGACGCCGCGUGGGUGAAGAAAUCCUUCGGGAUGUAAAAGCCCUGUUGUAUGGGAAGAGCGGAAGACGGUACCAUACGAGGAAGCCCCGGCAAACUACGUGCCAGCCGCAGC
rnacentral:rRNA from 1 species